rnacentral:rRNA from 1 species
GUUGCCAGCGGUUAGAGCCGGGCACUCUAGAGAGACUACCGAUGACAAACCGGAGGAAGGUAGGGAUGACGUCAAGUCAGCAUGCCCCUUACCUCCUGGGCUACACACGUACUACAAUGCUACGGACAAAGGGCAGCAAGCGUGCGAACGCAAGCAAAUCCCAGAAACCGUGGCUCAGUUCAGAUUGCAGGUUGCAACUCGCGUGCAAGAGCGCAGAAUCGCUAGUAAUUGCAGGUC